rnacentral:rRNA from 1 species
UGCAGUCGAACGAACUUCCGUUAAUUGAUUAUGACGUACUUGUACUGAUUGAGAUUUUAACACGAAGUGAGUGGCGAACGGGUGAGUAACACGUGGGUAACCUGCCCAGAAGUAGGGGAUAACACCUGGAAACAGAUGCUAAUACCGUAUAACAGAGAAAACCGCAUGGUUUUCUUUUAAAAGAUGGCUCUGCUAUCACUUCUGGAUGGACCCGCGGCGUAUUAGCUAGUUGGUGAGGUAAAGGCUCACCAAGGCAGUGAUACGUAGCCGACCUGAGAGGGUAAUCGGCCACAUUGGGACUGAGACACGGCCCAGACUCCUACGGGAGGCAGCAGUAGGGAAUCUUCCACAAUGGACGCAAGUCUGAUGGAGCAACGCCGCGUGAGUGAAGAAGGGUUUCGGCUCGUAAAGCUCUGUUGUUAAAGAAGAACGUGGGUAAGAGUAACUGUUUACCCAGUGACGGUAUUUAACCAGAAAGCCACGGCUAACUACGUGCCAGCAGCCGCGGUAAUACGUAGGUGGCAAGCGUUAUCCGGAUUUAUUGGGCGUAAAGCGAGCGCAGGCGGUCUUUUAAGUCUAAUGUGAAAGCCUUCGGCUCAACCGAAGAAGUGCAUUGGAAACUGGGAGACUUGAGUGCAGAAGAGGACAGUGGAACUCCAUGUGUAGCGGUGAAAUGCGUAGAUAUAUGGAAGAACACWAGUGGCGAAGGKGGCUGUCUGGUCUGCAACUGACGCUGAGGCUCGAAAGCAUGGGUAGCGAACAGGAUUAGAUACCCUGGUAGUCWAUGCCGMAACGAUGAUUACUAAGUGUUGGAGGUUUCCGCCCUURAGUGCUGCAGCUAACGCAUUAAGUAAUCCGCCUGGGGAGUACGACCGCAAGGUUGAAACUCAAAGAAUUGACGGG